rnacentral:rRNA from 1 species
GAUGAACGCUGGCGGCGUGCCUAAUACAUGCAAGUCGAGCGAACGGACGAGAAGCUUGCUUUUCUGAUGUUAGCGGCGGACGGGUGAGUAACACGUGGAUAACCUACCUAUAAGACUGGGAUAACUUCGGGAAACCGGAGCUAAUACCGGAUAAUAUUUUGAACCGCAUGGUUCAAAAGUGAAAGACGGUCUUGCUGUCACUUAUAGAUGGAUCCGCGCUGCACUAGCUAGUUGGUAAGGUAACGGCUUACCAAGGCAACGAUGCAUAGCCGACCUGAGAGGGUGAUCGGCCACACUGGAACUGAGACACGGUCCAGACUCCUACGGGAGGCAGCAGUAGGGAAUCUUCCGCAAUGGGCGAAAGCCUGACGGAGCAACGCCGCGUGAGUGAUGAAGGUCUUCGGAUCGUAAAACUCUGUUAUUAGGGAAGAACAUAUGUGUAAGUAACUGUGCACAUCUUGACGGUACCUAAUCAGAAAGCCACGGCUAACUCCGUG